GAUGAAGAACGCAGCGAAAUGCGAUAAGUAAUGUGAAUUGCAGAAUUCAGUGAAUCAUCGAAUCUUUGAACGCACAUUGCGCCCCUUGGUAUUCCGAGGGGCAUGCCUGUUCGAGCGUCAUUAUAACCCCUCAAGCUCAGCUUGGUGUUGGGGCCUGCUGCACUGGCAGCCCUUAAAAUCAGUGGCGGCGCCAUCUGGCUCUAAGCGUAGUAAUUCUUCUCGCUAUGGAGUCCUGGUGGAUGCUUGCCAUCAACCCCCAAGUUUUCUAUGGUUGACCUCGGAUCAGGUAGGGAUACCCGCUGAACUUAAGCAUAUCAAUAAGCGGAGGA
rnacentral:misc_RNA from 1 species